UUUUUUUUUUAACUUGAAAAAAAAAUGCCCGACACAUCACCUAAUCCAUCAUCAAUUUUGUGGCAAUCUACAAUUAUAUGAUCAUCGUUUCCUGAUGCUCCAUGGUUAUUAUUCCUCUCCGCCUUCUUCCCUUCAUCUUCAUCUCUGAUCGGUUGGCGUGCAUGACGUGCUUCCUCCUGCUGCGUGGCUGCCAUAGCUCUCCAAUAUUCAGACUUUACCUACUUUGAUUAUCGGCCGCAGGUAGCUAACAUUUAUAGCUCGUUUGCAUUCGCAUUUUGGCCUACACGUGCGUUCUUUUAGCACUCAUAUACCAGGCUAUUGACAAGUGGUGUGUCGCUGCAAAUGACAGAGCCAGAUUCAAUCCUCAUCUUUUCUUUUGAAUUUUCUGAAAGGCUCGGUGAAAUAAUUGAUUGAGUUGAAUUAAUUUAAAAUUUAAUUUAAUUUUAUAUUUAUAAUAAUUUAAUUUUUAUUUUUAAAAAUUAUAAUUAUUUUAAUUGAAUUUUAAUAAAAAAUUAAUAAAAUCAAAUUAAAUCAAUUAAUUUGUAAUAUUAUAUUUAAAAAUUAAUAUUUAAUUAGUUUAAUUUAAAAUUAAAUUAAAAUUUAAAUAUUUGUAAAAUUAAAUUGAAUUAAAAUAAAUAAAAAAUAAUUUAAAUCAAAUUAAUUUGAUUUGGUGAGUUCAUUUUUUAUAUUUAUUUUAAAUAUUUUAUGAUUUUAUUAAAAUAUUUUAAUUUUAUUUAAAAUUUAAUUUUUUAUAAAAAAAAAUUACAUUUUUGAUUAUCACCUAUAACAUGAUUAAUAGAUUCAUUAACUUAAUUUUAGAAUCUAACAUUUUCGUCUAUGAAAUUAAAUUUCUUUUAAAAUUAAAAGUUUUUUCAUUAAAAAUAUCGUUAAUGAUAUAAAAAAUAAUCGAAUUACCAUUUUUAUAACUCAACACUUUAGUUCCUGAAAUUUAAUUUUUACAAAUUUAUAAGUCUCUUUCAAAAAAUUGAAAAAAAAAUAUAUUUUCAUUUCUAAAAUAUUAUAUAAUUAACAGAUUUAUCCAUUUAUUUUUCAAAUUCAACACUUUAAUCAAAAUUUAAUUUCAUCAAAUUCAAUAAAAAAAACCUCAAACUCAAUCUCUAUAAACAAAUAAAAAUUUUAAUAAAUUAAAAAUUUAAAUCUAAUGACAAUAAAAAUAACAAUAUAUAAAAUUUAAAUUAUUAAAAAUAAAAAAUUAAAAUUCAAUAAAAAUUAUUUUUGUGAUAUCAUUUACUUCACUGUUCAUUGUGGGCUAUUUGAAAUGUUAUUAAGUAUUGUAAAAAAAUCUAAAAUACUGAUAUUAAGGGACUAAUUAAUAAAUUUUUUAAUAAUUUGAUAGAUCAAUUAAUAUUUUUUUAAAAUUAUAGGGACUAAAUCGUAGAAUAUUAGAAAAAAAUCUAAAAUACCUCUAAUAUGGAGGGAUUAAUUAAUAAAUUUUUUAAUAAUUUGAUGGAUCAACUAAUAAUUUUUUUUAAAUUAUGGAGACUAAAUCGAAGAAUAUUUAAUGAUAAAAUUAUUAGAUGAACUAAUUAAUAGACUUUUUAAAAUAUCAGAAAUAUUUUAAUAUAUUUUUUAAAAUUGAAAUUAAGUAGCGAGUUUUUAUAUAUUAUAGAGACUAAAUAGUAAUUUUUUAUUGAUAAGGAUAUUUUUGAGAUUAUAUUUAUUCUCUUUCUACCAAGUAGAAAUCAUUGACUUAAUAUAAAUUUUUUGUAAAAAAUUUUAGAUUUUGACAAAAUUAAAUCUUAAGAAUAAAAAUGUUAUAAUUCAGAGACAAAUUAGUUAAUUAUUUAUAAUUUAAAGGCUAAAGAGGAAAUUUUUUUUUAUAUUAUAAAAAAUUAUAAUACUGUUAAGUAAUCAGGGGUUCAAUUUUUUAUUUUUUCUUUAUUAAAAUCCAACUAAAUUAAAAUAAUUAAUUAUUUUAAGAAUUAAAAUUAAGUUGAAUUAAAUCACUAUAUCAUUUUAAUAAUAUAAAAAAUUAAAAUUAAUUAAAAUUAACAUAUGUCAAUUAAAUUUUAAAAUUUUAAAAGUAAAAGAAUAUAAAAAAUUUAAUUAAUUAAAUCAAAUCAAAUUAAUUACAUUUAAAUAGAUUUUUUUUUAUAAUUUGAUUCGAUUCAACUUUUAUAAAUUCUUAAAUUGCAAUUUAUGUAGUUUAAGAAUGGGCUGAAAUUGGGAGGCUGUUCACCCUUUAAACUCAUCACCAUAUAAUACGAUUAUCUAUUUAUUUUUUAUUAAUAUUUUGAUUUAAUUUUUUUUAUUGAUGCAUGUUGUAUUUUCACAAGUCUCUAAGGCAAAAUUGUGAUCCAAAAAUAGCCCAAUUACAUAUAAACCCAAUUACAUAUGAACCAGUCCAAUCCCGCAAUUUAAAGAAAUUAAAUCAAAUUAAAUUAAUUAAAUUAAUUAAAAAUUUAAAAUAAAUCAAAUCAACCCAAACUCAUGAGAUGCUCCAAAGUCUUCUUUAACCUUUCACUUUCGGAUCAAUAAAAUGGUAACAGAAUAUUGUAAAAUUUUAUACUAAAAUUUAACUUUUUAGAAAUAUUUAAAGAAGAAAAGUACGCUAAAAAAUUAAAAAGAAUUUAAGUCUUUAUAUAUGCAAUCAGAUAAUUAAGAGACGAAUACUCUUAUAAAGUGAAAUGAUAAAAUUUAUAAUGGCUAUGUUUUGAGAUGUGUAAAUUAUUAAAGGUGAUGGUGAUAAUUUUAAAUUACUAUCUCAUUAUGUAUAAAAUUUUAUAAAAAAAAAUUAAAUUAUAAUAUCACAAGCAGAAAUAUAAUUUAUAACUAAAUCAUUACGAUCUGCCAAAUAUAAAAAUAAAAACUACUCCAGUCUAGUAAGCGAGAGAGCAAUUCCAUUGAAAGAAAAAAAAAAAUCACAAAACAAGAAAGAAAAGGUCUUCCAUGCCUACAGGCAAGUGAAAAAAACAUAAAAAACACAAAAUAAACGUUAACAAAAUCGGCAAUAAGCCUUCUAUCCGAUGAAAAUAAGGAAAACCGGAGAAAUUAAUGCUUUUGGCACUGUUUGCUUGUCUUUUUUUUUUUUUUUCCCCUUUGGCGCUUUCCUUCCUCUCUUUCCUUCUUUUUCUUCCUUUUUUUUCCUUUUUUUUAUUUAUAUAUAUAUCAUUCGAUAUUAAAGCUACUAAAUUUAUUAAUUCGAAUUUUACACCAUUGCUAAAAAAAAAAUCUACCUCUUAGUUAACGUUUAAAUUUAAAAUUAUUAAGUAAAGAAAAUGAGACCUGUACCAUUCUGUAUUUUUAUAAGCAUUUAAUGUAUUUAAAUGCAUUUUUUCAAUACUUUUGUGAAAAGCAUGUUUGGCCUCAUGAUGCCCCAAUGGAAACGUUUCCCGGAUUGAUUCCGCCCUAACGAAUUGUAAUUUACUCCAUAUGCUCUUAAUUUUGGUUUUAUUUUAAUUAAUUAAAUUAAUGGUUACAAAUUUUUAUAAUUUUAAAGUAAAAUCUGAAUAUUAACUCCAAAUAUAAAUUUAUUUAUCUAAAUUAAUAAUUUUAAUAUUAAAAAAUUAUAAUAUUUUAUUUAAAAAAUCGUUUAAAUAAUUAUAUUUUUAUAUAUAUAUAUUAGUAUUAAAUAUUUUAAAAACUAAUAAUGAGAUAUAAAAAAAAUUAAUAAAAAAGAAACUCUCUUAUUGGGAGGGAGGUAAUAAUAAAUAGAAAUUUAUAAAUUUAAUAGGUAGUACAUAAUCACAUAAAGCGCGGAACAUGAUGAGGGAUAAAGUAAGCAAGGAACAGCUAAAAAGGCAGUAAUAUUGAUGUUUCUGCGGGUGAAGGUGGAUCCACAGAAUCAAUCCCUUUGAUUCUUUUUUAUUUAUUUAUUUAUUUUUUGAAUUAUUAGAUUUUGGAUUUUGUUUUUUCCAAGGUCAAAGUUGUUGUCUUUGGACGGUGGUGGUGAUGUGUUUCCACUUUCGCUAAGGGACAAAUGUACAACCUAUAUAAGCGAACCGGUCCCACCUACUUGCCUAGGUUAAUUGAAGUUAUUUUUGUAUUUAAAAAAAAUUACCAUAAAAUUAAUUAUAAAAGAAUUAAAUAAUUUAUUUAUAAAAUAUAUUAAUAUUUUAAUAGAUUGAUUUUGAAAGAGGGAUAAAUUAAUAAUUUUAAAAAACAUGUAAGAGUCGGUAUAGUUUUGUGCACAGGAUGGGCUGUACAAAGUGGUAAAAAACGCCCAUUGGAAACCAACCGGAACGACACAGCGGGGACACGAAGAGGAUCCAUUCACGCCCCCUCUCUCUCUCUCCACUUGAUUCGCCGGAUAUAAACUUUGUCUCUGAACAGUUCAAAAAAUUCGCACCCUCUCUCUUUCUCUCUCCCCGCAUUUCAACUCCCCAUUUCGAUUCCCAAAAGGGUAACUUUUUUCGACUUCUGAUUUCAAAAAUCAGAGAUUUUGCUAAGAAAUUACUGCUUUCUUGGCUGAGAAAAUAAUUACCAAUUUUUCUUGGAGAUUCUCGCCUGCUCCUGUUUUUUAGGAUUCCUUGGUGGGUUUCAGUCUUUGUGUUCGAAGGUUAAAAACUAAAAAGCGCUUUCUAGACCUUCGACCAGAUCAUGAAGAAGAUGAUCAACAAUCAUUUUUCAUUUGCUACUUGAGUGAGGAUGUCAAGAUUGUUCAUUUUGAUUAGGGUUUAUUCUUGAGUAAGACUCUUUUCCUUUCUGGUAUUUCUGGUUUUAAGACGCUCAACUGCUUUCCUUUUCGCCUUUUCUUCUCCAAACAGGCCUUAACAUCAACCAACUCAGUUUCUUUCUAGGUGCUUGCUUUGUCUGGCUUCUAGUUUCAUUCCUUUCCAUUUUUUUUCUUUGAUGUGGUUUGUUAAUUAUUCUAUAUAAGGUAAUAAUGGCAACUUAAAAGAAGUCUUUUUUUUGUGCGAAUCACUAGAUGUCGAUUUUAAGCUAGGUUUGAGCUUGAAUUCGUGAGCUAUUUAUGUAGAAGUAUUGGAUAUAAAAAAUAUGAGACUAAUUUGGUAAUAUUUGGGUUCAAUCGUCUAGAGCUAAGAAACUGAGCAUAAAUUAUGUCGGGGAAUCAUGAAACAUAUUAUGGCAUAGAAAUUAUGAGAACCCAGAGCUUGUUGCAAGAACUAUGAUGUUUUUAUGCAAAAUUAUAUUGGUAUUUGUGAGAAACGAAGCCAUAUUAAGAAUCAAAAGGGACAAAUAUAAAUGCUCGCCAGAUUGCAAUAUUAACAAUGCUGAGGCACAAAACUAAUCUAAGAAUAGUACGCCAUUAGAUGGGAAGAAUGCCUGAGGUUUGGUGCAAAGAGAUGAUAAAAAGUUAAAAGAGGCCUUUGUUGUCUAGUCACCCUUUAUUGGAUUGGAUGUGGUGGAAAGUGCAUUCCCUUUUUAUUCGACUCUGAACCUCAUGGAAACUGGAAAGUCCUGAUAAGUUCUGGAGAUCUAUAAGCUUGUUUCUGACAGUGUCAUACAGUUUUAAGAUCUUUUUAACCUAGCUAUUGGUAAAGUCAGAUUAGUGGGGUUUGGGGAACAAGAAUUCUGAUUUGAGUUUGGUUGGAUAAUUUUUUCAGUUUGAUCAUAUUUUCAUGCUUUGGUUUCAUGACUGUAAAGUUCAUUUGUCAAAUAUCCAGUAGCCUUACUUGGACAAGAUUUCAGGUUGUUUUUGUUAGUUAAAGAAUAUAAAAGCUAGGUCUUGAUGGACAUGCUAGUCCAUGUGCUUAUCACCUGGCUAACAGUUAGCAGUUUCAUGUGGGUGAUUGUAGUGUCUUGUAACAAAAAUCCAAAGUUAGUGUUGUUAACUUGUUAUAGGUUUGUAGCUAGCUAGUCUUGUUUAUUUUUUGGUCUUUUGUAUUUUGAAUUCAUGCUUCUAUCAGGAUUUCUAAUUUUGUAUCAGUUGAAGACUUGAUUUGAUUUUGUGGCUUAGUGCACUCAAAUUUUAUUGGUUUUAGAUGUUCUAUGAACUAGUGACACUGUUUUGAUCUCUUGAGGGAAAGAUGUGUAUUAGAGAAAAAAUGAAAGCUAUUUUAAUCAAAUGCAGCUAUGGUUGAUGGUACUUGGGUUUCCCCUUGGUAAAAUUCACGUGGUUUGCAUUUUGAAGGAGCUUUCAUAGACUUGUUUUAUGAAUUAAGGAAUGCAAUGUAUGUAGGGAAUAUGAUGAAAAUGCACCAGGGUGCUGACUGAUAUGGUGAUUUUGAUUUUAUAUGUGUUGCAUGUCUCCAAUUUGUUUUUGCUUCUAUCUUCUAAGAGAUGCUUGAUAUGUAGCAAAAGCUUGAGAUUAUUACCUGUGUCUUUCUUCCUGCGUGUUCUGAAUGAUUAUUGGUCUAUUGGUUUUUACAGGUGAUAAUUUGAAAAUAUAAAUAAAUUAAGUUCAAUGGGUGCAAAGGAACGUCAGAGUGCUUCAAAUUCUCCUAAAGUAGAGGUGGGAGAGAUUGACACCAGUGCACCAUUUCAGUCUGUUAAAGAUGCUGUCACACACUUUGACGAGGGCACUUUUUCUGGGGAAAAACCAACCAUCAGGAAGUCAAAACCACAUUCUGCUGAGGUAGUAGUGAUUCUUUUAUCAUAAGAUAUUAUAUUGUUUCGUCUAAUUUCUUCUUUUUAUUAACCAUACACCAUGUUGAUAAUUUAAACUUUUAUCGCAUUCAUAAGUCUAUGGAGCUUAGCCGAUGUAUUUAGUGCUGCAGUUACAUGAUGUGCAUACGAUGCAAACAAUUUUCCUUCAGAUUGUUGUGUGGACAAAUGAAUCACACAUGAUGCAACUUCUAAUCUUUCAGAUUUCAAAAGCAAUAGUGUUCUUAAAAACCUAUGCUUGGAUUUAAGGGUGCUACAUUUUUUGAGAUGCACAUGCACAUCAUUAUAGUCUAGGUGAACUAUAAAACUUCCUAUUGUAAGAUCAUAAUUAUUGGAAAUGAAAAUCCCAGUGAAUCUCUUUUUGUUGCUGUAGAUGAUCUUGAACAUCGUUAACUUAAUUAAAUGAAAUAAGCAUAUAUAGUGAUUCUGAUUGUGUUAUGUAACCGUUUCUGCCGAUCAGCUGUUUAGAUUCUUAAUGUUUGUAACAUCUUUAUUCAAUAUUCCUCCUGUUAGCAUGAUUGACUUGUUUUGUUUCAUUACUGAAGAGAGUUUUGGUCAACGAGACACAGCUCCACCUGGCGCAGAAGGAGCUGAACAAGUUAAAGGAUCAGCUGAAGAAUGCUGAAAUAACUAAAGCCCAAGCACUCGUUGAACUUGAAAAGGCUAAAAGAACAGUUGAGGAUCUCACCCAAAAACUCAUAAAUGUCACUGAAUCUAAAGAUUCAGCAAUUACAGAAACAGAAACUGCUAAAAACCAGGCAAAGGAAAUUGAGGAAACGAAGAGUGGUGAUACUUCUGGAUCCAGUGGUUCUAGGAAGCAGGACUUGGAAUCUGCCAGGGAACAGUACAUGACUGUGUUUACUGAACUUGAUGUUGCAAAGCAAGAACUCCGGAAGAUUCGACAGGGAUGUGAUGCAUCCUUGGAAGCAAAACUUGCUGCCUUAAAUCAAGCUGCAGAAGCAGAAAAUGCAGUAAAAGCAAAUGUAGAAAAAGUUGGUGAGCUUUCUAGGGAAAUCUCAGUGCUACAAGAAUCAAUUGGGCAAGUGAAGCUAGCAUCUCUGCAAGCCCAGCAAGAGCAAGCAAAGACAUUUGCAGAGAAGGAUGUUCUGAGGCAGUCUUAUAAAGCUACGCUGGAAACAUCAGCAAAUAAACUUAUUGCAUUGAAAAAUGAGUUUGAUCCUGAACUUGCCCGGAAUCUUGAAAAGCAACUGGCUGAAACGAUGAAUGAGAUUGAUGCCCUGCAAAAGCAGAUGGAAAAAGCCAAGGCUUCAGAUCUAGAUUCAGUGAGAGCUGUCACUUCAGAGCUAGAUGAUGCUAAGGAGUCAUUGCAAAAAGUAGCAGAAGAGGAAAGCUCCUUGCAAAAUUUGUUGGAUUCUCUUAGGCUGGAACUCGAGAAUGUGAAGAAGCAACAUUCUGAAUUGAAGGAGAAAGAGGCAGAAACAGAAACAAUUGCUGGGAACUUGCAUGUCAAGCUCUGCAAAAUCAAGGCUGAGCUAGAAGCAGCCCUUGCAGAGGAAUCUAAAACAAGAGGUACUUCUGAAGAAAUGAUCUCAACUUUCCACCAGCUAUCAUCAGAAGCAGAGAAUGCACGACAAGAAGCUGAACAAAUGAAGCACAAGGCUGAGGAAUUGAAGAAGGAAGCUGAAGCAGCCAGGAUUGAACUUGAAGAAGCCGAGAAAAAAUUGAGGGUUGCUCUGGAAGAAGCUGAGGAAGCAAAGGCAGCAGAAACAAGGGCGCUUGAUCAGAUCAAGAUAUUAUCUGAGAAAACUAAUGCUGCUCGUGCUUCAACUUCGGAGUCUGGUGCCAAGAUCACAAUCUCCCGAGAAGAGUACAAAGCUUUGAGCAGGAAAGUGGAGGAGUCCGACACAUUGGCAGAAAUGAAAGUAGCAGCAGCCAUGGCUCAGGUAGAAGCUGUGAAGGCUAGUGAAAAUGAGGCUUUCAAGAGGAUUGAGGCAACGCAGAAGGAGAUUGAGGAUAUGGAGGUUGCAACUCAGGAAGCUUUGAAGAGGGCAGAGAUGGCUGAAGCAGCAAAGAGGGCAGUUGAGGGAGAACUUCGAAGGUGGCGUGAACGAGAGCAAAAGAAGGCAGCUGAAACUGCAUCAAGGAUACUAGCAGAGACGGAGAUGUCACUAGAAUCAUCUCCUCACCAUUAUAAGAUUCAAAAGCAAAAACCAACAGCGCAGAAAGUUAUUGAGGUCCGGAAGUUGGAGAAAGCGAAGACUUCUAUUUCCAAGAAAGUACUUUUGCCUAAACUCAGCGGCAUCUUCCAGCGUAAGAAAUACCAAAUUGAAGGUGGAUCUCCUUCAUACCUUCCUGGUGAGAAGCCUGUCUGACACUUGCGUUUGCAAGAUCUUUAUGUAGGAAUCGAUGAGAGGCAUUGUUUAUGAUUUUGUGUGUAUAUUUGGAACUGGUGGAAUCAAAUCGUGAAUGUCUCGUCUGUUUAAGGAGUGAAUAUCAAAAGAUUAGCAUGGAAAGCAAGCUUAGGGAAGUGUGGAUUUUGUAUAGAGGCGAACUUAAGUAGAUUAAUGGUUGAUGAUCUUUCUUUAAGGUUGUCCCUAAAACUGAGGGAGGGUGAAAAAAGGUAGGCACUUUUAAAUUGGGCACUUGAGGGAUUGGUAAGCAAUGAUGAUUAUGAAGCAAUGAUGCUCUCUAGACCUCAUUGAAUCUCUCAUCUGAUCAGAAAUGAGUGAAUGAAAGCCUCUUCUAAGAGAAUAUAAAAUUUUAAUUUAUUAAUAUUUUAUGCAAUUAAUUUUAUAUUUUAUCACAAUUAAUAUUUUUUAUAAUAAUUUUGAUCGAUUAUAUCACAAAAUCAUUUUUACUACCAAGGCGAGGAUAGACAUUUAAACAUCCUUUGGGGUCCAGGAAGCCUUUAUUGAGACAAAAAAAUCUCUUUGCUGCCUAUAAAAUCAUUUAAGUUUUUAAGUUCAGCUAUGAUUGACAAUUGCUUAUAUAGAACUUGCUGGAUGCCAACUGAAGAUCACAUCAGUUCAACUACAUCUUCUCAGCCUUUCCUAUUUUCAAAUAUAUGCUGGUAAAAUAUGUUAUGUUUUUUCCUAUAUAAAUUCAAGCAUGCAUCCAGGAGGAGAAGAACUUCUCCAAAAACACAACAAAAAGUCAUGACAAGAGAAAUGACUUCUCAAACAGCAAUAAUUCCAAUAUGCCUCGUGAAAGUACCAGUAUAUCACAAAACAUCAUACAAAAGAUGCAAGAAGUGUUAGAAUAUGCCUCUUUCUGCUCUUCAAAAAAUAUAUGGAAUGACUUUAGGAGAAUAAUUCAAUGUCUGAGGAUAUGAUAAGUUUCAUAUUAUUUAUGAUUUUAUUUAGAUUUGAUUUUGUAGAUAUAAUUAAGACAUAUUUAUUCUGUUUAGAUGUUUUGUUAUAUUUUUUCUAUAUAAAUUCAUGAUUCAAUGAAUAAAUUAAGCAGGCGAUACUAAGUCUAAACCAAUACAUGCAAUAAGCAACCCGUAAAUGGUAUACUUUCUAGAUGAAAGUGAUCUACACUAACCACAUCUACAAUACCUGGCCUGAGAAAACAGAUGCUGGCAUGCAAAGGCUUCAGAGACAACAGAUGAUGGAAUAGCAAUUUACUCUAGCACAAGAGUUAAAAAGGUCAUAAAAUGCCAGAGUUACAAUUAUCCACUCCAAAGUGGUAAAUCAAUCUACAAAAAUAUUGCUUUAUCUUGCCAAACCUGCAUCGAGAUGAUGCAAGUGAGCAUUAAUGUAUUCAGUAAUUGAAGUACAAAGACUUGCCUCCAAAGCUGUCCCCAUGAAUCAGCCACCAAGAGUUGGUUCUGGUGUGGUAUCAGCAGGGAUUUUUGAAAUUGUUACUAUCUAACUUUUUUAAUGACCGUUAACUUUAAGCCCGUUUAACGAGUUGGAGAGUCCAUUCAAACCUCCAAACUUUUGGAACUCGGAUUCAAUUGUCUUAGCAAUCUUGGCAUCUUCUGGGUCUGGCUCUGGGAUAUCAACAUGGACUGACCCCUGCCUGAUUGGUGCAGUGGGUUCUGAAAGAGCAGCUUGAUGUUUGAUAUAAUUGUAUACCUGUUGAUGGAAGUCAUGAUCCAAGGAGAAACAAUUGCCAGCUGUUCCACUCCCUGUAAGGUGAGAUGAGCCAGAUCCUUCUUUUCUACAAAAAUGCGGAAGGGAUGCAUAAUCCGUAAUCUGCAAAGAAAAAUAUCAACAAGUGUCAAUCCUCCAAGUACAUACGGGCACAGAGAAAAUAGAAAAUCAAGGACAAAUAGGACGCAUGUAAUGUAGGACCGACAAAGUGGUCCUCCUAUAAAGCGCUGAGUUGGAGGGUCAAGGGAUAAGUUUUAGGAAACAAGUUGGGAUUGAGAACACAAGGGAUACCUCAUUACUUUGAUGACAGUGGAUUACUAACAUAAUUAGGCAAAUAGGCAAAUCUUAAGUAGAGGUAUGGCUUUGCUGAAUAUACUUUCGUUGUGAUUCAAUAACAAAUACGGAAGGCAACAAUGUAAAAAUUUAUUUCGAGUAGUGGAUUUGAAACAUUUUAGUACAAGCAUGAAGGAAGAUGCAUGUAGAAAAUAAACUCCUGUAUUCAAAGGAAAGCAUGCUUAGGAGACAGCUUAAAUAUAUUAUCAGUCAUAUUUCCUUGCCUUCAACAAUUCAUCUCUUCCACAACCUUGCAGCACCUGAAUUUUCUUCCUUGUUCUUUCUUGUAAAAGAGGCUUUACAACCUGAACAAAAUAUUUUCCAUAUGUUGAGCUGUUAAUAGGACAUUACAGAAUUAAGAGUACCCGGAAUGCUUUUCACAUGAGAAAAAGGCAACACCUUCCAACAUGCUGAAAAUAUAUAUGGGGCAUUGACAAUAUAGUACGUCUCUGUUUUUUCUGGAUAGUUUAAGUCAUCAACUGUAGAUAUAACAGUCAACAGCUGCAAUAGAAGAUAAAGAAGUCAGAUCACCGCAGAUAUAAGAAAAAGCAUUAGGAAAGUUUUUUAAGCAAGAUAAGAUUUUUGGGAGGUUUUGAACCUCACUUAUUUCACCCCCCACUUUGAUGGAUUAAAGAGGUUUUGAUUCCUUUGUGUUACUUUAUAAAACCUUCAUUCUCUCUAUCCAAACAUACUGUUAUUUGUUUAUGCACGUACUGCUUUAGAUUUACAGAUGUCAUAUCUUGUAAAAUAUUCAUUAUUGGAUUUUAUUGAACAUCACUUUUAUGAAUAAAAUCUGGUUGAAGAAAUAUGGAUGCUCAAUGCAAAAUGUACCUUUACUUGAUUCAAUGCUGAAAGCUUUAAGCCAGUCAUAUCUAAAACUUUGACACAAGUGCUAAUAUGUCUUCCAUAUUUCUUGGAUGCAGCAGGCUACCAAAAAAUAAGUAACUAGUCAGCUUACAAAUCGCAAAGAUGAUGAACCAUCUAACCUUUUCAGAGAUUGCACUCACCAAUAUUACACGAUCUCUGUAUUCAUUUAUUUGGAUGUGUGACUGCACAUAGUAAUUGACCUGAAGUGAACCCAAAAGAAAAACAGAGAUGAUUAGUAGAUAUCGCAUACAAGAGACAACAGGACGACUGAAUGCCCAAAGAUCAACGGAUACAAAUUACCAAGUCAUCCAGAUAUUAAGGUAAAAGAACACUUUGUACUCCUAUAUACCAGCCCCCACCCCCCAACUUCUCUCUUUAUAUGAAAUCCUUUUUGCUGCAGUCAUAAUUGUAGGUUCAAAUUUAACCCAUCCUCUACCUCUAGAACCAGAAGGAACGAUGUUUCUAUCAAAGAUAUUUCUAUCAGUGGUGUUACUGUAGCUUGCCCUGCUGGACAGUUUCUUAUAAUAUGAUUCGUAACCCCACAUUAUAACAAGCCCUAUUAGCUUUCCUUCAGACCCUAAUGUGUCUUCUACCACAAUACUCACACACUAUUAUGCCUCUACUCAAUUCCACUACACAAACUGCUAAGGGGGUUUGUGGUCCAAACCUACUCUGGUAUUCUGGCCCUGUCCAUGUCCUUGUCUCAAUUUCUGUCUCUGCCCUUGUUAGCUGGGCACCCCUCUGUUUCUUACCUUUUGCAUGUGAUACGAAAGACUACUCAUGUUACCCGACUCUGCUCUCUUUUCUAUUGUCCCCUUCUUUUCCUGUUCUGUUCUUCCUCUCUGUUUUGUUUAUGUACAAGGUUGCAUUUACUAGUUCUAGUAACUCUGUAAUAGGGUGGACAGCAAUGCUUUAUAUGCAAACCCUGCUCAAACUUUUCACAUCUAACAUCCUUUAUAGGUAGUAAUUAGUAUCUCUCUGGCAUACUUAUUGAGGCAAAUAUAUUCCCUGUAUUACAUUCUAAAUAUCUGUACAAUUAUCUCAUUUAAGAUGGAAAAACUCUUUCUUUAUCUCCUUAUAGUAUCUAUGUGCAUAUCUAGCUACGCACAUAUUCAAUUUUCUUCACCUCUUGUUUCUCAUUUAACUGUGUGCAUAUCUGGCUGUUACAUAUACUAUUUUACCCAUAUCUUAUUUCUUAUUCAACUGGGUUCAAAUACACAAAACACAAAUCCACUUUGAAAUAAACAUCUAAUACACUCUCCCACUCCAUUCAUACUUAUACAUCAGAAAAAGGAUCCAAAGUGUUCAUAAUGCAAAUUUUUAACUGUCAUAUUCAAGCACAAUAUAUAUAUAUAAUUUAGUUAUAAAAUCCUUACAGAUGCUUUAUCAAAUGUGCUCAGCCCAACACCAACAGCAACGACAGGAAGACCCUGGAAAUUUCAACACAUAAAAGGGAAAACAUUAAAUUUGGGAUUUUAAGUAAUUUACUGACACAUCAGAAGGCCUUCUUACGAGGAUAUCAAGAAAUUCCCUUCAGAAAAUACUGAGGAAGCAACUAUUUAAAAUUUUCAUUGAAAAAAAAAAAUUGACUCAGGUCAUCAGCCCUCUCUUGGCAUGCCAGAGAUGAACAACAGCGAUGAUGUAUCUUUGAGGACAAUAAUAAGCUCUAAAAGACUUGCACAUACCUCUUUAGUGUAACCAGAUAAUCCAACAAGCUGUGAAUCUCGAAUUGCUCUAUAUAAAUCAACUGGAAUGAUUGGUUUCUGUGCACAGAUAACUGAAUCAACAAUUCUUAUUCAAUGUAAUGAAUACAAGGUUGUCCCAGCAAUGUGGUUGUUGACAUCCUAAAUGUAAGGCAUCAUUUGUUUGUGAUGCAUAUCCAGGAUACAAAUAGACGUCACUGGAUUUUAGACUAACGGCAUAAAUAUUUAUUUAAAACAUACAAUCAAACAUAGUUUUGAGGAUUUGGGCAAAAGUGAGUCCAUGCAAUCACUGCAUUGCUCAAAAAGCAGGAGGGCUAAACAGAGUUAUGCAACUAUUUGCAGAUAUUGAAUUACUUAUAUGAAUAUUUUAGAGCCCAUUCUAGUCGACAUUCUAGAAGUUAGAUCCUCAUGAUGUUCAAAGGAAUGAAAGGAAAUAAACUAUUAAGACAUCUAUGAUUCAAUUGGUUGGUUGUCUAUUUAAAAAAAGAGAUAAUUGCAAUUGGCAGCUUUUGUUUACACGCUUAUGAGCAAAAAAAAUUAUCAUUUAGCUUUUGCUUGUACUCACUGCAGAUUCUCAUUUGCUUACACUAAUGGCAGAUUAGAGUUCCAUGUAGCAUACUCAUGGUGUGCUUAUGAGCUUGUUCCAAUAGUUCAUUUUAAAUCUUUAAGCAUGUGCCUCUAGCACAUACCUUCUUCCCUAGGUUAAAAUUAAAUAUUCAGGAUAAAUGCAGAAAGUGAAGAUGCCUACAUCUCUAUUAUAGAAUAUACAAAUGAAUGCAUGAAGUUCAUGUUGCAACUUUCAAUUUAUGCACAUGCAUAAAUUACAGAAAUAACUAGCCACUGUUUAAGUUCCAAAAAGGAAAAAAAAACUCACCGCCAAUAUGUUAUCAAUCUCAUUUUGUAUUCUCCACUGUAAACAAUCAAUCAACUGGAACAAAAAGGCAAAGUUGGCUUAAGAAUAAGGAGCCAAAGAUAAAGCCUGGAGAUAAAAAUAAUUGUAAUAAUAACAAAAUUACAGGGAUGGAAGAAGUAAAUGAAUUCUUAAAAAUAUAUAAAUGGAUCUAACCAUUUUGUGGGCCUUGGAAACAUUCCACUCUCUUGCCUUGAGAAAUCGCAGUAAUGUUUCAUUUGGAUAACCCUGGUGCAUAUUCUGGAGAUCACAGAACAAGCUUCGAGUUAAAUAUUUAUUUUUCUACACUUCAUAAGACUCUGUAUCAAUGUCCACCAAAAACAAACCUUAAUCUAAAAACAACAGGAACAAGAAUAGAAAACAAUGCUAACAAUUGAAAAAUUCUCAUGUCAGCACAUUUUUAUCUUCCUGCAAUUCAGAACCUUAGAACUGUUGAUGCAACUAGCCUCAGAAUGACCAUAAUAUGAGAUUAGAAAGGAAUUUUCAACAGUUCUGAAUGAUUUUUCCUGUCAUAAUAAUAUUCAAGUCCCAACUUGUAAGCUCAAUACUAAUCAUUUGUGGUUCUGCUUCUUCAGACAUCAAUUAUUUAUCAUCCAUUUAUUUGAAACCCUCAGACUCAUUCCUUCUUUACCAAAAGGUAAUGUCUAUGCAAUCUGAUACUCCUGUUUGAAAAUUCUAGCUGCAAAAAUUUUCACAAAUCUGAAAACUAAAAGCCAACAUUUAGCUCACACACAUGCUACAGGAGCCAUCACAAAGUUUAGCCAAUUAGUUCAAUAAAAUCCAAGUCAAAAGAUAACCAAAAAGUUUCCAACUUGUCCUUCAACGUGAAGAACUGAAAUCUUCGAUUACCAGGGAAAUAUGCAAAUGCUUAAACACCUCCUCUAGAGCACAGUAUCAACAGAUAGUUUCCAUACAGAUCCAAUAACUCCGCGCAUUGGUGAUCAAAAUGUUAGCAUCAUGGAAUUCAAUGAAUCAGGAGUGUGAUUCCUGAUGAUCCACAUUUCUUUAGAAGAGAACGGUGAAAACCAACAACGUCUAGAUCAAACCCAGAAACAAAGGAAGGCAAAUAGCAAAUGAAUGGACGCCUAGCAAUACAAAAUUAGAUCAAAUCUCAUCUCCACGCCAUGUCCCCAGCUCCCUCACCCGCCAAAAAGAACACAAACUUCCAUUGAUUCUGGAUAUUUCCACAUCAAUUAGCCGAGGAAAAACUACAGCUAAACUAAAUUCACCAACUAUGAACUAAGCUAAAUCUAUAAACCUCAUAUCCCCACUGUCGUUCGAUUUCUUUUUCAGCAAAAUAAAAAGGAAAACAGAUCAACAAAACCCAUCAAGGAAAGAAACUGACCUGAAAUGUAUCCUUGAGUGGCUGAUCGACUGUCAGAAUUUCAUAGAAGAAGAGAAAUUUAGUGUUAGUAAUUAGAGAAGAAAUCCAAAAUAGAACAUUUAAAAAAAAAAGGAAAAAAAGGAGUAAACUUGGCUUUCGAAAGCUUACUUUGGUCCAUUAAAGAUUGAAACUGCUUGAUCGCUUCAUGAUUAGCAACACCCAUUUUUUCUUUCCCCUUGCGUUCGCAGUUGCAGAAUCAGAACUGCUCAGUUUAGCUUCAAGGCCUUGAUUAAAAUAAAAAAAAAUCAAAAAAAAANNNNNNNNNNNNNNNNNNNNNNNNNNNNNNNNNNNNNNNNNNNNNNNNNNNNNNNNNNNNNNNNNNNNNNNNNNNNNNNNNNNNNNNNNNNNNNNNNNNNNNNNNNNNNNNNNNNNNNNNNNNNNNNNNNNNNNNNNNNNNNNNNNNNNNNNNNNNNNNNNNNNNNNNNNNNNNNNNNNNNNNNNNNNNNNNNNNNNNNNNNNNNNNNNNNNNNNNNNNNNNNNNNNNNNNNNNNNNNNNNNNNNNNNNNNNNNNNNNNNNNNNNNNNNNNNNNNNNNNNNNNNNNNNNNNNNNNNNNNNNNNNNNNNNNNNNNNNNNNNNNNNNNNNNNNNNNNNNNNNNNNNNNNNNNNNNNNNNNNNNNNNNNNNNNNNNNNNNNNNNNNNNNNNNAAAAAAAAAAACAAUGCUUAGCAUAAAAAUAGCCAUUUGAUCCAUAUUGUUUUUGGCAUUUAGUGGAUUAAGCCCACAUCAAACCCAUAAUCUAUUUUUUAAAUCACCAUUGCCCAUCUAGUAAAUUACCAAACAAGCCUUAUAUGAGAAAUCUAAGGGCAUGUUUAGUUAGAAUUAAAAAAUUUUAAAUUAUGAGAAAAUUUUAAAAUUUUCUCAUAAUUAAUUUUUUGAAAAAUUAAUUUUUCUUUAAUAUAGAGAAAAUAAAUUAUUUUAAAAAAUAAUCCAUUAAAACCAAAUAACAUCUUAAAAAUUUGUUCAAAAGUGGGUCCAUAGAGAGAGACUGUGGUAAUGAUAAUGUGAUGAGGCCAUGUGGGUGUUGUAAUGUGGUCAAUGUCCAAUGGGGUGAGGUUUCUUCAUCCUCUGGUUGUUGUUUACAUAAUUGCUAAUUAAUUUCUUUAAUCAAUAAUUAACCAAAAACUUCAUUCCAUCUUUGACCCAACCAAUGGUUUCCAAUUUUCCAUUGUGAAAAAAACCCUCAAUGUAUAUGAUUCAACAACAAAGAUAGGAUUUACUAUUAUUAUUUUGAUUUCACAAUUUAUAAGUAUAAAAAUAUUUAAUUAUAUAAUUAAUAAAUAUUAAGAUCUGUCAAAAUUAAAAUUAAUUUAAAUUAGUUAUUUCUUGAAAAGUAAAUAGAAAGCCAAGGAAAGGAAAUAAAUAAAAAUUAUGAAAUGGAGAUAAUAAUUUUUUUUUCAAAUUCUGUUAAGUGCUUCAAACUAGAGACUUAGAUUCUUGCAAUUUAAUUGGGCAAGCCAAGGAAGGGCAUUCACCAANNNNNNNNNNNNNNNNNNNNNNNNNNNNNNAUAUUCCAAGAAGAGAUAAUGAUUGGAAUCCACUUUAGAAAUGUUAAAAAAAAAAAAAAAAGUUAAAAUUUUUGGGUAUUUCUCUGUAGGCAUAUAAUUUUUAGGAAAAAUUACUUUGUAGUCCCUGAGAUUUAACGUAAUUAACACUUUUAUCCCUCUAUUUUAACGACCCAAUAUUUAAGUCCCUCACUUUCUCUUCCGUCCAAAUUCGUAGUCUUUCCGUCCAUUUAAACCGUUUGGUCAAAGAGUCAAAGGUGAGAUGUGAUAAUUUUUUUCAAAAAUACCCUUCUCUCAAUGUGAAAUCCCAGAAAAAGAAGAAGAAGAAAAUGGUUAAUUUUGUCAAUUCACGUGUCCCAAAUGACUAUUUUGGACGGAAGGACUACGAAUUUGGACAGAAAAGAAAGUGAGGGACUUAAGUAUUGGAUCGCCAAAAUAGAGAAACAGAAGUGUUAAUUACGUUAAACCUCAGAAACUACAAAAUAAUUUUCCCUAAUUUCUAACAUAUUGGUUCCAUUCUUUUGCAAUUGUUCCCUUGCUUUUAUUAUAAUUUCUUCAAGAUGGGAAUAGAUUCUUAAGUUUGUGAGUUUGCACUAACUCCAAAAUUUACUCAGAAUUAAAUCUCAAGAUGCCAACAAUGUUCCCUUAUGACUCAUCACCACAUGCAAAAACGAUCAUCCUCAUGCAUGCAUGCAAUUAUAUGUAUAUAUAUAAAUAUUUUUUUAUAGAGACUUCACGAUUAUUUUGUAAUCGUAUAAAUAAAAAUAUAUAAUUCAUUCGAUAGAAUUAAAUUUAAAUGCGUAUUAUUAAAAAAAUAAAAAUAUAUGCAUAUAUAUAUAGAAUAUAGUUGAUGUGCUAUAUCAAAUCGAAAGAUGCUAAAACAAUGGAAAAAAACUUAGUUCACUACCUCGAUGAAAUAGAUUUGGAGCUUUAUGAAAAGGAAAUUCUUUACAACAAGAAUCUCUCCAAUAUUGAAAGAGAAUGGCAUCCCAUCUCUCAUAUUUCCAUGAAUUGACCUUAAAAAUGUUCUCAAUUUUCUUUUUUUUUUAUUUAAAUAAAAGUUGUUAUACUAAAAUCACGUGAUUAUGAAAUAAGCAUUAAAAAAAGAAGACACUUCCCUUAAUUAUUCUUCUUAAUUGACAACUCCCUGGAUUUCUUUAAGGAAAAAAGUCCAAAGUACGCAGGAUUUUAAUGGCUACCAUGGAUUUUUUUUUUAAUCAAAAGGUAUAUUUCAUUAAAAAAAUAUUGUCACGUGGGUCAUGGCUGAAAAGGCUCCUUAAUUAAAGUCUUGGGCUCUUGGCCAAUUUGAGAAGAAAAAAGAAAAAAAUUUUAGCCAAUGAAGUCUAGACAAAGAAGUAGGCCAAGGCUAAAACCCAAGUAGAAAGCCUAAGAAAAGCCCACAUAGCUUAAGGAAGCCGAGUCAAAACCCAGCCCUGAGAGAAACCUGGCAUAAGCAAGGAGCGCAAAGUUGCAGCGCCUCUGGACCGCUGAGAUAAUCAGUUACCGUGACUGAAUUCAGCAUAUAAAGAAGCCAAAAUGUAAUACAUUCACAGGAUUCACAAUUUCAGAUAUUCAACUUCCUUCGAUACAAAUAUGAAAAUGUUUAGUAACAAGAUGACUAUUAUCAAUUCAAAAAACCCUAAUUUCCACAGCUUCAAUGUUCUACAGACUCUACAUAUUGGGUGUAGUGCAAGAAGAGGGUGCAAAAACAAAAACAAAAGCAAAAGCAAAAAGGAGGACAGCUAAAAGAAAUCAAAUUCCAAAUAAUUAUUCUGCUCUGGAAGAACAGCAGGUGGUGCACCUUUUCCACUUGUUGAUGGUGGAGCUGGAAUCCGCUCUAUCUCAGGCGGCUUAGGAAUCUCAGGUGGGCUAGCGCAACGAAUCAAUGCCCAGUUUACGCCUUCAAAGAAUGGAUGUUGUUUAAUCUCAGUAGCUCCUCGUUUAUAGGCCAAUCUAUGUUGUGGCUCUUUCACUAGCAAGCCCCGUAUCAGAUCUCUUGCUGAGAAACUGACAACUGGUGACUCAGGAAAUCGCAACGGCUGACCCACGACAUUGAAGAGGGUGGCACGGUUCCCUGAUCCCUUGAAUGGAGUUUUACCAAAGAGUAACUCGUAUAGAAAGAUGCCAAAAGUCCACCAAUCUACAGUACUUCCAUGCCCUUCACCCUUGAUAAUUUCAGGGGCUAGGUAUUCAUGUGUUCCUACAAAGGACAUGGAACGUGCAUCAGUCGGCUCUGCAAUAAGCUCUGGCAAUGAGGUGACUUGGUUCCCCAUUUCUUUCUUUGGUUUUCGAUCUUUCCUGGAUUUGCUUAAAAAGAGUCGAGGGGAAAAACAUGUAGUAGGCGCCACGCAUGAGGGCUGGAUACAAGAUGGCUCAAUACAAGCAGGCUGAACACAGUAAGCUGGGUUCUUCCGCAAGCGUUCGCCUUCAGGUGCUGAAGACUUGACUAAUGUUGGGCUCACUGUGCAACGAAGGGAAAGGUCAAAAUCAGAAAGCAUUAUAUGUCCAUCUUCACGGAGAAGAACAUUUUCCGGCUUGAGAUCACGGUAAAUAAUUCCAAGCAUAUGGAGAUAUUCCAGAGCAAGAAGAACCUCUGCUACAUAGAACCUGCAGAUAAAAGGUCAGAGGACAAUUAGUUUUCAUUGCAAUCAUUAUCAACACAACGAAAGAAUGUCAUAAUAAGCAACAUACCGAUGCAUUUCUACCUCGCACUGCAGUUUAUAGUUAUCACAUAAAGGGAACAUUCAUAUUUAUAUUAGAAGUCCAUGGUCCACUCUUAUUGUCUUGGAUUACUUGGUUUCACCACAAAUCAAACACGAAAAGAGUUGGUUUAUCAUUUUUUGCUAUUAUCCCUUUUCUCUAAAUUUCAUGGUUAUGACACGCCACAUGAUCAACGCAGACAGUUGAACAAAAUUACCUGAUAUGAUUUGUCUAGUAUGGAAAGAUCAGAAUAAAUGCAGUUUUACAUCUGACUAAUCAAGUUCAAGGUCAGUCAUCAUCUUAAAUGUUCAUUUGGCCUUAGAGCACCUAAAAUAAAAGUUAAAAACUGCAACAAGACAACAAUAUGAUCUAUGCCUUCACCUGAAAAUUGAAAGUGUAAAGCUCAAGUUAACUUUCAAGGCAAUAUCCAAUGAUUUUUCCCCUCUAAUUUUUGCGUAAAUAGAAAAUGUAAUAAAGGAGAAACAAGGAUCGUAAUCCUUAUAAAUUAAUUACCAUGUGCAAAAAGAAUAAAAGACAAAGAAGUCAAAGGCAAAACCUAACAUCUUAAUUGUAAAGGACUGCUUGUUAGCAGUUCAGAAUCAGUGACCUUAGGCAGGUGAUGGAAAAAAAGUAGUUUGAGUGGUCUCUAUAUAUGAUUUUACAGGCUACACAAAAUAUUCCUUGGUAGUUAUUCAUACUCAUAUCAACAUAUCUGACAGACUGAUUCUUCUUCUUGACCAUUUUUUCCCCAUCUUUAUUUAGGAAUAGGAUACGAUAGUUGGUUCAAAGCAAACAAAAAAUAUCACUAUAAUUUGGUAGCAUAGAGGCUGAUGCUAAAUAAAGCAAUCUCAUUUACAUAGAACCAUUAGUUUCAAAGACUGAACAACAGCAAUUAUUCUGAUACACUGCUUUCAAUAGGCAUCAUUUCUUGAUAGAUGUACAAAAUUAUAAAGAGACAAUGUUUGAAUAUGAGUAUGCCAACGCAGUGAAUUAAACAACUUCUCAGAACUAUUAGGUAUAUUCUUUUAGCUAAAUUAGUCAUAUGAUACACAAAUAAUUUGUAAUAUAGCUCUCAGCUGGUUCUGCACAAUAAUAAAUGUUUUCCCUCUAUAUAUUCAAUCUAUGUUCUUACAAAAACCCAAGAAAUGUCUACCCCUCGCCUUACAAAUACCAUCACAUUUCAUGUUGCUCUUAUUGGUUAUAACUUAUAGCCCAUACCAACUUGCUCACCAACAUUAUCUUUCAGGAUAUUCAGAAGAUUUCUAUAUUCAACCUAUUACCCAAAUAGCUACAUCAGAUCCUAUAUUGCAGAUAACCAAAUCUACCUAAUUCUCAUAUGAUAAGUAUUAAGUGCUUACAAGACUAUCAAAGUAACUCUUCUGCAAUCACUUGAAAAUUGACAUGAAUUCCGAGCACCUAGUCAUUACAAUGAUGUAGCAAGUAACCUACCAAUACCAUGCAGGAUGACACAAAAAAUUCUUAGGUACUUUGUGAAAGCAAGCACCAAAGUAAUGCAGGGAUUUGCAGAUUCAAUGCCUCAAAGUUAUAUAGACAUAAUAUAAGGAUAGGUUCAUGCUUUACUGCCCGCUCAGAAAAAUGCUUUCCUGGCUGCCUUUGUCGAAGAGUGUGCAAGUCACCACCAGGGCAAAACUCCAUAACCAAACACGAGAACUUAUCAGUCUCAAAAUGGGUAUAUAAAGUUGGAAGGAAGGGAUGGUCCAAACACUGCAGUAUUUCUCUCUCUGUUUGAGCUCGUAGAAGUUUCUUCCUACUUGCUAAAGAUGCUUUAUCCAUAACUUUCAUUGCAAAAUAACACUUUGUUCCACUCAAUUCUGAAAGAUACACACUUCCAAUAUCCCCACAGCCCAACAUCUUUAGCAAUCUGAAAUGGUUCACACCCAAUAGACCUUUUGCAUGUACAGCUUGUAUAGCUUCCCAUCGCAUAUCAUUGGCUUUGUGAGGUUUAUUGACACUGCUACUCAAACUGCUACAAGUACUCUCAUCACUGACAUCAGUGCUUGUGCUCCCUCUGUUCACACUGCUUUUUCCACUCUCAACAAAAUCAGCUCGUUCACUAACUUUGGCAUUUUCACUAGUCUUUAGAAGGCUACUGGUCCCAUCACUAAUUACCUUAGCAGAGCUAGGGUCAAUUUCAUUCUGUAAACUUUUACUUUCUUGAUCAGCAGUGCCCUCUGGUGAGUCCCUAGUCUCACUCACUUUGGAACCAGCAGAAGUUGGCCCUUGUUUUGGAUCAACAAAUUCCAAACCUGAAGAUACCUUAUCAACUAAAGAAUUGACAUUGUCUGAUUUGUGAGAAAUCAGUGAUUUCUUGUCCUCGGUUGUCCCUACAGAAACCUGUUUUGAUGCAACUUGUGCACUUUGAGGUGGUUUUCUGGGGGUGACCGGCUCAGAUUUGCUUGUCUUUGUAAUCUGUAAAGGUGAGGGCCUGCGAGACUUUCCUUCUGGUGUCUGAUUACCAUUUCUCAGCUUUUCUGGGGAAGUUGCAACGUUGGGUUUUGAGGCCAUCGAAAAAUAGAAAAAUUUGUUACGUAGAUCAAAUUUGGAAAAUCCAUUAGUCAGCUGCAAGCAUGUUAAAUCCACCAACUGUCCAGCUUGCUUUCAUCUUCAAAUUUGUGAAUAGUUGUUGUAAUUUUCCUACAAUUGAAUUCAUCUAAAAAUAAUCAGAACACAAUCAAUUUCUGCAAAUUGAUUGGAAAAGAUAGUAUAUUUCUUGAGAGAAAACAAAAUACUCAACAGCUUAUUGGGAUGACAAAUUCAUAGAGCUUGAUCUAGGUUAUCAACAGACAGCAUAGCAGCAAAAGGAGAUACAAAUCACACUCAUCAUUACAUUUACAUGAUCCAUGAUGAAGACCCCAGAUUAAAUAUAACUAAACAUAUAACAGAGCACAAACAUCUUUUGCCAGCUCCAACCAAACCCUCCAAAAGAUAUCAAUUAGAAGAAGUCCAGUACUGAGUUAAUUGCAAACUACAAUGGCAAAUUAGCUAACAAGCCAAGGAUUGCAUGUAUCCCACAUCAAAUACAGCCUCUAAAAGAACAAUCAGAAGAUACCCAUAAGAAAUUAACAAAAAUAUCGGUAAAGUGGAAGCACUAAACUCUACCUUAAAAUGCCAAUCCUUCUUUCCACGAAGAAGAGUGAAACUUUCUAGUGGAAAAUAAAGAGCAAGAGAGAAUGAAUUAAUUCAUACACAAAUGCAGUUUCCCUACGGCUGUGAAAACUGGAAAAACUCAAUGGAGAAGAAGAUAAUAACAAGGUUAAAUUGUUAAAUAAUUAGUAGACUUGGUUGGAUCACAAAGCCAGAGGUGGUGUGAGUGGAUCUAUCAGCCUGGCUGGUGGGUGAGAUCUAGAUCAUCACAUUCACCUAUUAAUUAUACUUUUAAUUUAGACCUUUAGCUAAUCUCAAUUCAUCGUUUAGCCAAAAAUCCUUCUUGUUUUAUACAUGAGCGGCCUAAUCGAAGUUUCACUAUUAAUAUUUAGGUUCCAAAUAUAUAUAUUUAUUGAAAAGGGAGUGAUUUGAAACCCUAGUACUAAUUAUGCCUUAGCAUUGAAUACAUCUAAGUAUUCCACUUUCAGAAUUUGGAGUCUAGAGACGUGCAAGAAACUGAAGAGAAUCGAUCUAAGGACCCAGUGGGACCAAGUGGUGCGGCUGGUUCCAGCACUCUCAUGGUUUAUGCCAUACAAAUUGACAGAUUAGGGUUUGGACCACACUAGGCUUGCAGGCAUGAACAGACUCGCACAUGGUGCACUACACUGCUUCCCUGUUAUUAUCGUAACUUCCCAGAGAACCCUAUGUAGCUCACUAUCGUUCAUAUCAAUGGCCUCCUUAAUUAAUAUUAUUUAGAUUAGAAAGGCAAGUCCCUUUCACAUUUGAUACCAACUGCAGGGUGUCAAAAUCAGAAAGAGCUCAACCACAACAAAGAUUUUAGAGCUGAGCUGUGUCAAUGAAUAAACUGCUGCAAAUAGACAUUCCAAUACGUUAGUGCUUCAAGCAAGAUGAUUGCGCAUAAUCAUGCAUGUGUUAAAUUCACAUGUGGCAAGAGCUAGGCUUUGAGUGGGCACGGGAGUUGAAUCAGAUAAAGUCCGCUACUAGAAUUGGAGAUAUUGUGCAGGGAGUGGAUUUGCUCACUGUGAGUUCUGAUUCUAACACAAAGGUAUCAUUUAUUACACACUCGUACAACCAAAUCUCUUUUAGGUUAUACUUAUGUCAUAAAGCUCCUAUCAUUUAUAAUUUUUUUUUUUUUUUUUUAAAAGUGAAACUAAAGGAGACAUGCAUGUCGACAACAGAAAACUAAGUUUUCAGAUAGAGGGAUCCUGAGUUUUCACUUUUCAUAUUGGACCUAAUUGAUUGCUAUUUUUCAGUUGACAUCUAAAAAGAUAGGGUUUGGUUCUCGAAAUGCGAGAACGUUGCAUGUAAAAAGAUAUUUUCCUCCCUUUAUAAAAGGGGAAAGUGGGGCAUUCUCCAUCUAAUCUUGCUUUAAUGCCAUGAGGCGACGGAAAUAGUACAAUUGUACGAUCAUGCAUGCAAUGCACCACGUUAUCAAUUUCCUAUUUGAGAAAUUUUUAAAGCGUAACUAAUCAAUCCUCAUGAAUGUAGGUCUUAUAUGAUUUUUUUUUUAAUCAAGGGAGAGAAGGAGCUUUAGCUUCUGACCCUUAAUGGCAAAUUCUAGGUAAUGUAGCUAGUCUGAACUGUGCAUUGUAAAGGUGCCAUCUCAAUCUGUAUGGUUUAUGUGUCCUGUAAUUAAAUAAUAUCAAUGGGAUGUUACUCAGCCCCAGUGACCUAGCUUAUGUUGUAAUAAGUUUUUGGUGGUUUUGUACGUGUCCCCUACGGCAAAUUCCAAGAUACAUCCCUUGUUUUAUUGCCGUUCUGUCUCUCAAAUAAAAGCUAUUUUAGGUUGUGUGUCCUAACUCAAUGUUGUCGUCCUUUGACCAUGCACAACCAGUGUUUGGGAUUGGAAACAAUUUGAUAUGUAAUAAUUAAUUUUGAAUUUUACAACAGUUUUGAAUCGAACUUAAUUUUUACUGUCGAUAUCUGAUAGAAACUUAUGAUAAUUUUUUAAAAAGAGAAUUUUGAAACGUCAUGUCAUGAGAGCGGCAUGUUAAUCACAAAAUUCGAUAUAAAAAUUUAUUUUAUAAAUUUAUGUAAAAUUAUUUUAUAAAAUAAUAUAUUUUUUAUAUAAAUUUCAUCAUUUAUUAAAAAAAAGUAAAAUAUUUUUUCUUUUAUAUUUAGAUUUUAAACUUAAAAUUAUUAAUUUAUGGAGAAUAAAUCAUAAUAUUUUAUUUUAUUUUUGAAUUUAAAAUAAUAUAAAAAAAAUUACAGAUUAAAUAUGUAAUUUAUUGCCUAAAAUCAUUUUGGAAUCAAAUAAUUUCAACAUUUAACUUUUCUCCUUAGUGAUCAAUUUUGCAUUUUAAUUAUUUUUUUAGACAUUUUGAAUAUUUUCAUAAUUAUACUUAUUAGAGUUAUGUUUCUAUUAUAAAUAGACUCUUUUAACUAUUAGAAAUUUACUUUUUCAAUUUUUGAUAAAUUUCAGUAAUACUUUUAGUUUUAUAUCUUAUUUUUUCUGAUAUUAGUUAAAACUCUUGAUAGAAUUUAAACGGUCCUUUAUUACAACUACUUCUAAGAUUCUCAAAAAGCAUGUUAUGACAUAGAACAAGCACACUGAGCGAUUGAGGGAGAGUUGCAGCAACCACACCAGAAAUUUCAAUGGAAAAGACAUGGAGAUAAGAUGGUCCAGGUGGAAAAUUGGGGAAUUCAUUGCUUUUAAAGCCCAUUAUUUGACAAAUCAACCUUCUACAACUGUGGCAUAUUGGAGAAGAACUUCGGAAUUGACCCUGAAACAGUUACUAGACGACAAAUUAUUGCCCAAAUCAAGCCUUACCUAGCAUUUGCUUCAUUUUAAUGGAGGAAGGAAUCUGCCCCCACAUCUGAUUGUUACUUAGUCUCGUAUACAUCAUAUUUGAAAGGUUCUUCCCAUCAUGAUUAAUGGUUAUAAUGUUACAUGUAAUAAUUCUUCCAAUUUCUGAAAUUUCACUUUAUAUACGAUUAAGAUGAAUAUUGUCAAGCAAGUUGAGGGCUAAAAAUGAAAGCGAGGCCGGAGUGGAAAGAAGAAGUGGUUGCAGCUUUGAAUGCCAGUGCAGGAAUGAUAGCGUAGAGAUGAAGAUGAGCUAUCACCUGAUGUGAUGUGUUGGAGUCGCAGGCCGGAGACAAUUUCCCAAAUCAGAACUGGGAAUUUCCAAGUCUCUAGCUAGGCGAGCAAGUUUUGAUGCAGCCACCAACUUUUAAAAUAAUUUAGGUGCCACGGUUGUGGUGACUAAAAAUUUUCAAGUGUGAAUAGAAAUCAUAAAACUAGACAUUUUUUUCUAACGACUAUAAUUUUGUACUGACGCAAAUAGAAAUUUUUUUCUAACAACUAUAAUCUUGUACUGACGCAAAAUGAAUAAUAAAUGAUUCAACCUAAUAAAGUUUAAUCAGAAAGACAAAUUUUCAAAUCAGCCUUUAGUAUUCUGCCUUAAAUUCUACACAUUUAUUAUUAUGCUUGUUGAAUCUCCGAUUUAAUGAUGGUUGGACCUGUUAAACUAGGGGCCAAGGGAGGUUAGACCACACAUGAGUUAGUUGGUUGAUGCAGUAAUGGGAAUUGAUCAGUACACUUCUACUGAUGUGGAUUGUUCCCAUUCAUCUGGUUGCCAAUGUGGAUUUGUUCACAUUUCAACACUCACUGUUUAAUGAGAGAUUGAGACUUUGGAAUGAAACAUUUUAGUGUUUUUAAUUAUAAAUCAGUUAAUUGAUAUAGUUAAUUUUUUAAAUUCAAAAUCAUGUAUUUUUUUGUAUUUUGUUAUUUUUAGAUUAUGGGUUGUUUUAUUAGAAAUAUAAUUUUUUUAUUAUAACUGUUAUAAUCAUAUUUAAAAUACAAACAAACUGUAACUCUGAUAUAAAAUGUAGAUCUGUCAAAACUAAAUAGAUCAAUAUUUUUCCUGCUCUGUUUUUGUUCUUGUUGCAAAACACUUCAGUUUCUUAUCUUAACAAAUGGUAUCAGAACUUUAAACUCAUAAGAGCCUGAAUCCUUCAAAAUUCAAGGGGUGCUCAUUCUUGAUCCAAGCAUUCUACAAACGCCUAAGUCAAGCAAGCAAAAAAAAAAAAGACCUCUUUUUUCUCACCAGUCUCCAUUCCCUUAUUUACUGGAUGAAACUAUCAAGUUUGGGAGGUGAAAAUGAAAGUUUUCCUGAGAUCACUUGCACUGUGGGCUACGGUAGAAGAAGAUCGAGAUCCUCCUCCUCUCGGAAACAAUCCCACUAUAAACCAUAUUCGGAUGUAUGAAAAACAAGCAACAAAGAAAGAUAAAGCCCUGACAGUACUCCAUGCUGGUAUAGCAUACUACAUUUUCACAAGUAUAAUGGCUUUUAAACACCGAAGGAGAUCUGAAACAAUCAAGGAAGUGAACGUGUCAAGUCAGUAAGGUUAAUAGCCUUAAAACGAGAAAUGGCAAAUAUGAAGAUGAAAGAUACUGAAACAAUCAAGGAAUAUACAACAAGAGUCCUUGAGGUGGUAAAUCGAAUGUGCUUAGCUAGAGCAGAAGUGGAGCAAAGCAGCAUCAUGGAGAAAAUCUUAAUCAGCAUACCAGAAAGAUUUGAAUCCAAAAUCUCAGCUAUUGAAGAAGCUUAGGAUAUCACCAAACUGUCUGUUGCUGAUUUGAUCAGCAAACUCCAUGUUCAAGAGUAGCGAGCAUCUAAAAUUAUAGAAAAAAAAUAUUUUUCAUUUUCUUACAUUCUAUGUAAUAAAAUACAAGAAUUAUAUAGUAUAAGAUAUGAUCAAUUAUACCUAUGAUUAUACUAUCAAUUAUCGCCUAAUAUCAUGUUAGGAUUAUGCUAACUACGGUAAUAUUAAUCACUGAUUAAUUAUAAUUAUGGCAAAAUAUUCUUUCCAACACUCCUUUCAAGUUGGUUCAUGUGGAUCCAACAUGUCUAACUUGUCCAAAACUUCAUGAAAUAUUCGUCCAGCAACUGCUUUAAUUAGGAUGUCUGCCUACUGAUCUUCCAAUCGAACAAACGGUAAUGUUAUUAAACUAUUGUCCAACUUUUCCUUGAUGAAAUGUCGGUCUAUUUCAACAUGUUUUAUUCGAUCAUGAAAAUCCAAUAUCAAACAUCAACUUUCUGAUCCAUAGUAGUUCUACAGGUCCUUUUGCUAUUCCCCUAAAUUCUGCUUCAACACUGAACAGUGCCACCACCUUUUGCCUCUUAUUUUUCCAUGUCACCAAAUUACUCUCAACGAAGGUAAAAUAUCCUGAAGUAGAUCGUCUGUCGGCAUGGUCUCCUGUCCAAUAAGCACUGGUAUUGAGAUGACCAUUCUUCUUGAACAACAUGCUCAUUCCAGCUGUUCCUUUCAGAUAUCGAAUAAUCCUCAAUACUGUCUCCAUAUGGUCUUGUUUUGGAUCGUGCAUGAACUGACUUACUAAACUCACAGAAUACGUCACGUCUAGUCUGGUGUGGUGUGUGAUAAGUAAAUCAGCUUUUCUACCAAUCUCUGAUACCUCCCCUGUCUGCUGGUCUUUCUUCUGAAUCUUUACUCAACUCAUGAUUGACUAUUACUGGAGUAUCAACCGGCUUGCAGUCUAUUCAUGUUUCGGCUAACAGAUGAAGGAUGUAUUUUCUCUGUGAUAUCAGGAUUCUAUGAUCUGACUUGAGAACUUCAAUUGCAAGGAAGUAUUUUAACCCUCAGAUCUCUUAUCUCAAAUUUCUGGAAUAAAUUGUCCUUCAGCCGUUUGAUUUCGUCUACAUCAUCUCCUGUUAUAAUUAUGUCGUCCACGUAUAUAAUCAAACACGUGAUUUUUCUUCCUAUCUCUUUAAAAACAGGCUGUGAUCGAAAUUAUUCUGCUGAUAUCCAUAUUUCUUCAUUACUCGACUAAAUCUCCCAAACCAUUUUUUUUCUUAUUGCAAAACAGUUCAGCUUCUUUUAUCUUAUCACCGUUUCGCUCUUUAGUUUGGUUACUCCUUUUUCAGAGUUUUGGCGUUUUUCUACCAACUAUGUCGGUGGCCAUCAAGAGGCGGCAACGGUGACGUAGUUGUUGGGGCGGUGGACACCGGUUUAAACCUUUAACUUCCCGAAAUUGGGUUAAAUUUUGUAGCUUUAAAAAAAUAAUAAUAAAAAAAGCCAGCCAAGCAUUUCUUAAUUGGCAUGGGUUCUCCAUUUCCAUUUUUCAUAUGUUCUAGAAAUUUUCAAAUACAUAAUUAAAAUUUUUACUAAAAUUUAAAUAUCAAUUGAAAUUAUAUAUGUACACAUAAAUUUAAAAAAUAAAAAAUAAAAAAUAAAUUAUAAUUGGAUAUAAAAGGAAAAAAUAUCACCAUCACUAAAAAAGAAUUAUGCUGAUUUAUACAGUAUAAAAAAUAAAUAAAGGGGUACAAAUUUCAAAAAUUCUAUAAAAGACAAGAAACUAAAAUCUGGCGUUUUGUUAAUGGUUGAACUAUAUAUGAUGAAUUGAACGAUAAGGUUGAGAACAUCAAAAAAGGAAAGUGAAAGGAGUAGGGCUUUGUACAACAUGCAAGCCAACAAGCUGCAGGUGGCGUGGGGGCUCUUUCCAUUGCAGUAUCUUCUCCUUCUCCUUCUCCUUCUCCUUCUCCUUCUCCUUCUUCCUAUUUCUUUACUGUUUUAAUUUGCAAGCAAUUUCUCUUUGCUCUCAUCAGCCACUGAAUUUAGCUUUUUCUCGUCUGCUCAUAAUAUCUGAAUUCUCUCAAUUUCAAUCUCUCCCAUGACUUAUUGACUGAUUAGUUUGUUAGAAUAUGAAAUGUUAUUUCUUCUUUCAAAAUCUUUCUCUAAAAUUUAGUAUUAUAGUUUUGUGUUGUUAAUUUAUUAUUUAUUAAUUUAAUAAUAUUAAAAUUAUUUUAAAAAAUAUAUAUUUUUUUUAAAAUAAAAAUUAAAAAUUGAGAGAGUAGAACCUCUUAAAUUUACUUAUAUAUACUCAUUAUCAGGUUAAAUCUGUAAAUACUUAAAAAUUAUAAUGAAGUUUUUCAGAUUUGUUUUUUUAAUGAUGAUUUUCUUUGAUGGUAUCCUAAUUAUGUGCUUAAUACGGAAAGCAUGAUAUUUCCUUCCUUUCUUGUAUAUUUUUUUAAUGGACUUAAUUGAAUUGUGUGUUAUUUUAAUUUUUUUUUAAAAAAAAAUAUUUUUUAUUAAUAUAUAUCCAGAAAAAUUUAAUAGAUUAUAUUAUAUUAUAUUAACCUAGGCUAACAGGCUAUUUCUCUUGCAUCCAACUUAGAAAUCUGAAAUAUUAAAUAAAAAAAUCUAAAGAAAUAUUAUUUUGAAUACAGAAUCUAUAGAGUUCAAAACUUCAAAUCAAAUCUUAUGAUAACUAAUAACAUAUGUACUUUUUUUAAUUUUAUUUACAUUAUGAAAAUUACUAAUUAAAUUUUAAUUUUUUUAAUUUUGUCCCACUAUAUCAACCUCUAUAAAACUCUAAACUAAAUUCUUAAAUUUCGUGAUACUUUAUUUUUUUUAAUAAUUUUAUUAUUUGAAAUUAAAGAAUUUAAUUUGUUUAAUUUAAAAAAAUUUUAUAUUUAAAUAAAUUAAAAUUUUAAAAUAAAUAAUUCCAAAUGAAUGGUCCAUAAAAUAAGAGAUAAAAAUUUAAAUUAAGAGUUAGACUAUGAUUAAUUGCCAUGAUUAUGUAGCAUAUCCUUUAAUAAGAUAGCAAUUUUCUCCACUGUAGGUAGAAUUAAUAAGGUUUAAAAUGUUUAGAAUUUAGUAAUUUUUUCAAAAAAAAAAUAUUUUAUAUAUUUUUUAAUAUUCACAAUACUUAAAAAUUUAAUAUAUUUUUAAAGAAAAUAUUUUUUUUUACAAAAAUUCAAUUCAAUUAAUUUAUUAUUAAGAAUUUUUUUAUUUAAAUUUUGUAAUUUAAUUUUUUUAUUUUUUCAAAAAAAAAUCAUUUUAAAAUAAAUAAAAUUUUUAUAUAAUUUUAUAAAAAUUUAUUAAAAUUCUGGUAAGAAUUUUAUUAAUACCAUUAUAUUUAAUUUCAUUUAACAUGAAAGACACAUAAAAUAUUUUAUCUGAAAGAUAUUUUUAUAUAAAUUAUUUUUGGUAAAUAAAUAAAAAUUAAAGUAGAAUUGUAAAAAUUUGAAAGGUAUUUGUGUUUAUACAAAUUACCCCAUUUAAAAUCAUGAAAUCAAGAAUUUUCUCUCAGAAUUUUUGCUCACGACAGCUUUCUAUUUCCUUUUUUUAUUUUUUGAUUAUUAUUAUUAAUUUUUACAAUGUUUGGGACAACCUUGUUAUUCCCUUAUUAGGAAUUACACAACCAAGAAGUUCGGUUGUUGAUUGUGAUUUUCUAUAAUGUAAUGAAUGGAGAAGGUCGCCCCAGCAAAUUACUAGCUGGCUGCCUGGCUCUUCAUCUUCAUUGUUUCCUAAUCCAUAAAUUGGGACAAAAAUCUAUUUUAAUUUUUUAAUCAAUCUUUAAAAAUGAAAUAAUUUAAUUUAAAUUACGAAAUAACUUUCGUUAACGUUUAUAUUAUUCAAACUUUUCGGAUUCUUGUGUGUAAUUUCGGUAUUUUUUUUUUAAUUGAGCCUUUAAUUUAUCGUUAUGCCUAAUUCUUACAGAAAAUUUUUCAAUUCCAAUUUUCCUUGUAAUCAACGUUUCCUUCCCAUUACAAACAAAAUUGCAAACCAUUAAAAGAAUAUUUAUUUAUUUAUAUAAACAAAAUUAAUUAGCUGGCAUUCACCUUUGAAUUUCCAAAUCUUAAUCAAAGAAAAAAAAUAAUUAAAACUCAGGACAAAAAAAAUAACAAGAAAAACUAAAGAUGGCAAUAUAGACACCCCCACAAGAGAAGGAGCCAAACAAGGCAAAAAGCAAUAAAUACUUACCAACUUUGCAGGAAUCUGAUGAGGUAGAAAUAAAUUCAAAGAAUCAAUUUUCCUCUUGAAUCCUGACGCGUGUGUCUGAGAAGAAUGCAUUUACACUAUAAUUCAUGCAAGAUUCACUCUAAAUUUCUACAGCAAUAAAUUUUCUCACGUAUUGGCCAGCAAAGCCGUGUUCUUUGUUAUCUAAAUAUAGUAGCUUAGCCAUACAAAGAAAGAUUACGAAAUUUGUUUGUCAACUUGCUGGUCUGGUCUGCAUAUACUUGAAGAUUGAAGAGUAUAUAGGUAACGUUCAGGUUGUAGAAGCUUUGUCUGAUUGGAGUGAUCGGAAAAACGAUAGAAAAAAAGAUGACAGGCUCCGUCGACGAUGCACUGCCUCCGUCCAGACUUCCUGAAAAGAAUGAUUCCAGUGUUGAUGAUAUAGGUAAAAUCUUUGUGUUUGUACUGUGAGAUUUCAGAAUGAAAAAUCCCAAUAUUUUCAUUUUCUUUUUCUUUUUCUUUUUUCUUGUUGUUGUGUACAGGAGAUGACGUGAAUGACAAUCCUAUAGAGCAAGUAAGGCUGACGGUUCCCAUCACUGAUGAUCCUUCACAACCUGUGUUAACUUUUCGAACAUGGCUUCUUGGGAUAUCAUCAUGUGUGCUUCUUGCUUUUGUGAACCAAUUCUUUGGUUACCGUACAAAUCAACUGAGUGUUGGUUCAGUUUCAGCGCAAAUUGUCACUCUCCCACUUGGAAAUUUAAUGGCCAGAGUAUUUCCCAAGAAGCAAAUCAAAAUUCCAUUGACGAAAUGGUCAUUUUCAUUGAAUCCAGGGCCUUUCAAUUUGAAAGAACAUGUUUUGAUAACCAUUUUUGCAAGCACUGGAUCUGGAGGUGUUUAUGCUGUAAACAUCAUUACUGCUGUCAAGGCCUUCUAUAGGAGGCCUCUACAUCCUGUUGCAGCUAUGUUACUUGUACAAACGACUCAGGUAAAUUUCCAUCAUUCAAUAAGCUUUAGCGAGCAUAGUUCCACCGGGCAGCUUAACAGAAUUCUUGUGUGUCCAUUCUUCAGUUGCUUGGGUAUGGAUGGGCUGGGAUUUUCAGGAAAUUUCUUGUGGAUUCACCGUACAUGUGGUGGCCCUCAAACCUCGUCCAAGUCUCUCUGUUCAGGUACCUUUCUGUCUCCUCGUAUUGAACAAAUCUGCUUGGAAAGACGCAGAAGGUGAAUUCUUUACCUGACAGCUUAUAUAUAUAUAUAUAUACGGGAAAUGCAGGGCAUUGCAUGAAAAAGACAAGAGAGAAAAGAGAGGACUCACUAGACUGCAAUUCUUUCUCACUGUUUUUGUAUCAAGCUUUGCUUACUAUGUCCUUCCAGGCUACCUUUUCCCUUCCUUGAGUGCUAUCUCUUUCGUCUGUUGGAUAUGGAAAAGCUCGGUCACUGCUCAACAGAUCGGUUCAGGGCAAAAUGGUCUUGGUAUUGGCUCUUUUGGCCUGGAUUGGUCCACUGUUGCUGGGUUCUUGGGGUCACCUCUUGCUGUGCCUUUCUUUGCAAUUGCAAACACUCUGGGCGGCUAUUUCUUGGUUAUGUAUAUUAUAGUGCCAAUUGCUUAUUGGACUAAUGCUUAUGAUGCUAAGAAGUUCCCCAUCUAUUCUUCCCACACUUUUGACAGCAAUGGUCAGACUUACAACAUAAGCCGAAUUCUCGACCAGAAAAAUUUCGACAUUAAUUUAGAUGCCUAUAACGAUUACAGCAGGCUACAUCUCAGUGUUCUGUUUGCCUUUGUGUAUGGACUUAGUUUUGCAGCUCUGAUGGCUACUAUUUCACAUGUUGCGCUCUUCGAAGGAAAGUAAGUUUGUUUCCUUCUGUUUUUUACUCUUUGUACAUGUUCACUGUCUGGGGAAAUAGUCUUUGUGGCUAAUGAUUUUCUUGAUAUGAACAAUGAAUUAAUGUAGGAAUAUUUGGGCACUGUGGAAGAAGACUUCAAGUUCAAUGAAAGAUAAAUAUACUGAUGUUCAUACCAGACUAAUGAAAACGAACUAUGAAUCAGUUCCCCAGUGGUGGUUUGUUGCAAUCUUGAUUGCAUCUGUGGCUUUAUCCUUUCUUGCAGUAGAGGGUUUUAACAAACAGUUACAACUUCCAUGGUGGGGACUUCUCCUUGCUUGUUGCAUUGCCCUCGUUUUCACUCUGCCCAUUGGCGUCGUUCAGGCCACAACAAACAUGGUACUGUAAUUCUCCUGUAAGCUUUUUCCAUUACCAAGUAAAUGGGAUUUCUAAUAAGUUUAUCUUGAUACACAGCAAAUGGGAUUAAACGUUAUAACAGAGUUCAUUAUCGGAUACAUCUACCCAGGGAAGCCUCUUGCUAAUGUGGCAUUCAAGACAUAUGGCUAUAUUAGCAUGGCUCAAGCCCUUUAUUUUCUGCAAGACUUCAAACUAGGCCACUACAUGAAAAUCCCACCCAAAUCCAUGUUUCUUGUUCAGGUAAAUUACAACACUGGUUACUUCAAUCGUUUCUCAUUGCAGAGAUUAUGAAUUGAUCUGAUUUAUCUUGUGAAUUUGCAUGUACAGUUUGUUGGAACAAUAGUUGCUUCGACUGUUUACUUUGCAACAGCAUGGUAUCUCCUGUCAACUGUCGAAAACAUAUGUAUCCCAGAACUCUUACCAGAUGGAAGCCCAUGGACAUGUCCUGGUGACGAUGUUUUUUACAAUGCUUCAAUCAUAUGGGGAGUCAUAGGCCCUCUGAGAAUGUUUGGGAGGUUAGGUCUCUAUGAAAGCAUGAGCUGGUUCUUCUUAGUUGGUCUAGUUGCCCCUGUUCCAAUAUGGUUUCUGUCACGAAAAUUUCCAGAGAAAAAAUGGAUCAAGCUGAUCCACAUGCCAAUUUUCUUGUCAGCCACAGCAAGUAUGCCACCAGCAAGAGCUGUGCACUAUUUGAGCUGGGGAAUUGCUGGAAUCAUUUUCAACUUCUAUGUUUAUAGAUGGUACAAAGCUUGGUGGGCUAGGCAUAAUUACAUCCUAUCUGCUGGUCUAGAUGCUGGUGUAGCUUUCAUGGGGAUAUUCCUCUUCUUCACUCUUCAAUCCAAGGAUAUUUAUGGUCCUUCUUGGUGGGGUCAGGAUGCCACUGAUCAUUGUCCAUUGGCACAUUGCCCCACUGCUCCUGGGAUUGUUGCGGAUGGUUGCCCUGCUUUUAAGUGAUGUGCUUGAUAUUUCCUUUCAUGCAAUUAGAAACAUUUGGAAUACAAAAAAACUGUGAAAUUGGCUUCAUUUGUAUUCUCCCAUGGUUAUGUGUUGGGAAAUAUUUAUGAUUAAAACAAAAUUCUUAUAUAAUUGCAAAACUUCCUAUCAAGUAAUGAAGUUCAACACAAGUAAAAAAGACAAGAGAAGAUUUAUGAAACUAUGGAAAGCAUUUAACAGGAGAAAUAACAUUUUUAUAAUUACUAUAAAUAUGAUAUUAUCAAAUGAAAAGGUGGAAUUUUUUUUUAUUUCAAUAUUUUAUUAAAAAUUUAUAUAAUAUGUUGCGUUCCAAUUUUCAAAUCAACAUAUUACGGUUAUUGAUAUUUGAUAAAUCUUUUUCUCCAUAAUAGAUCUGGUUUUCUUCUUAGUCCAUUAUAUGAGUCUAUCAAAUGGGUCCCUCAAUAUUCUAUUUGACGAAGUGAUAGGAAAAAAUGGUCAGGGGUCUACCGGGGAUGUCCCCGGUGGAGACCCUCCGACGCCCAAGUCAGGUUUAUGAUAUAAUAUUUCAUGGAUAGGCCCGAGUUUCAGAGAAAAUAUGGAGGCCCUCCAGAAGAAGAAGAAGAGAGAAGAGAAGAGAGCUUGCCUUUUUUCCAACCCCCACAUCUAUAGUGCUAUCUGUCUGUGUCCUUUAGGCCCGUACAUACGGACGUGUCAGGCCCUUCUCCACGCAGGCGGCCAUUUAAUUCACCCUGGCAAGCAUACGAAUAGGGUUGGUGAGUAAUUGGACUUACUCCCCUAUUGAGCUUGUGCUCGUAUCUGAUCCGGAUUGCCCUAUGUAACACCCCCUACCCGAUUAUUUAAUUAAUCGAGUCGAAGACAUUACAUUUGUAACAAUUCUCUUAUCUUUCCUUUACUUUGUAUCAUGAACAUCAUGACUUUUUUUUUUUUUUUUCCUGAAAAUCCGGCAGAGUUUCCCCUAAAAUAUGGACUUAAUUACCUUAACCCCCAAACUUCUUUCAACAUCAAAACAGUUUCAAUUUCGAUCAAACGCUUCAUAACAUUUCAUUAAUCUCAACACAGAAACUUAUACUAAUCAUCCACAUUUACACUAAAAUUAAAAUAUUUAACUAUAUCUGUUUCAACCCAUAUUCAACUUUAUCUCUAAAACCUUAUGUACAUGUCAUAUUUCCAAAAUCAAGUUCAUAUAAAAAUUUACAAAAUAUACCCCAAUAUAGAUGAUGAUGUAACUCUGGCUGGGUUGAUGCAGAUCUUGAUCUACUGCUCUUUGAAUCUACAACCUGCGCGAGGAAAAAUAAAUUCCUACGCGCUAAGCAAAUUGCUUAGUAGUGCUCAACUUUUUUUUAUAUAAAUAAAAAUUUAAAUCAAAAUUCAUGUAAUAACAGUAAUUCAAACAAACAAACAACAAAUAACUAUAUAACAAAUCAUUUGACAUAAGCUAAAUCAUAUUAUUAUUUUACAUAUAUAUAUAUUUUCAUUUCACAAUCUUUUUUUUUUUUCUUCAUCAUGUAAAAGGUUUUAUUUUCUCUUAAUACUUUUAUUUAUUUAUUAUUUUUCUGUUGGCCCCUAUAAAUUUAAAUGGGACUGUUAAGUCAGAUAAGGAAACUGUAACUGUAGGGCACAAAGUGCCAAAUAACUGUAUGGCUCAAAAGCCGAGUCUAUGACUGUAGGAUACCUCAUUGUAUCCCAAAAAUCCGUGUAACUAUAGUGCAGUACUGCAAGAUCUGUAUAUGGCAUGCCACACCCUUAAACUAACUCACAAUUCCCACCAAACUUAAUAGGGCCAGACUUUAAAUAAUUUAUACAUUUAAACAUGAGCCAAAAAUUUCAAUAUAGUGUAACUUUUAAUUUUUUUAAACUAUAAUAAUUUAUCAUAUUACAACUCUGCCUUUAAACAUUGUCAUAUCAUGUAAAUCUAUUCAUUUACUUCAACUACAUAAAUUACAAAUUCAUAAUUUAAUCCUUAAUUAAUUAACUAUUAUUCUUUUUAUUAUUAUUAUUUUUUUCUAAUAUAAUUUUUUUUUUCCUAUUUUUUUUUCUAUCACAAUAUACCUUAUUUCAUUUUUCUUUUUCUUUAACUUUCUAUUUUUUUAUCUUCUAUUUUAAACAUCAUAUUUACACUAUAUCUCACUUGUCUUAUCACUUUCAUUUCUCUUUUUUUUUUUUUUUUUAUUGUCACUAUAUCCACCCACAUUAUUUUUCUAUCAAAGAACAUAGAGUCAUUUCAUUAUAUCCAUAAAUUAAAUUUUAGUUAAAUUCCAUAUAAAUUUUAGAAUUUUCUAUCUAUUAAAUCUAUUAUUUCUCAAACUUUUAUUAUCCAAAUAUAAUUAAUCUAUUAUUCACUUGGGCUACUUCUACUAGGAUAGUAAAAUUUCAAAUAAAACCUAAUUAACAAAUUCUUGAAUUGAUUCAAAUGGGGUUGAGCACAAACCUUAGAAUUUCCAAAAUAUUCUACAAGCUUUACUUCUCUACUCUUCAUUUUCUUUCCCUUUGGAACUUCCACUUUUCCUUUCCACUUUUUCUCAUGAAAAAAAAAUAAACCAAUAAAUCACAUUAAUACACUAUUUCUCAUAAAUAUUCACAUUUAACAUCCCUGGGUAGCUGGCUCAGGCUCGUAAAGUCGAACCGUCUUUCGAGCAUAUGAUCUGAUGGGCUUCGGACCUGUGACUUUUUUUUGGAUCCAACCUUAUUCCUGAGCUAGGAAAGAUCUGGAGGUUAUCAAUAUUAUUAUAA
rnacentral:lncRNA from 1 species